UAGCUUUGGCAGCACAUAUACUAAAAUUGGAACAAUACAGAGAAUAUUAGAAUGGCCCCUGUGCAAGGAUGACUUGCAAAUUCGUGAAGCGGUCCAUUAAAAA
ensembl:snRNA U6 U6 spliceosomal RNA